GAACCUUACCAGGACUUGACAUGCAUCUCUAAGUUGGUGAAAGCCAGCGAGUCCCGAAAGGGACAAUUUGCACAGGUGCUGCAUGGCUGUCGUCAGCUCGUGUCGUAGAUGUUGGGUUAAGUCCCGCAACGAGCGCAACCCCUGUGAACUGUUGCCACCGAGGCGUGAGCUUCGAGCACUCUGUUCAGACUGCCCCGCUUUAACGGGGAGGAAGGUGGGGACGACGUCAAGUCAGUAUGGCCCUUACGGCCAGGGCUGCACACGUACUACAAUGCCCAGUACAGAACGAUCCGAGACCGCGAGGUGGAGGAAAUCUAUCAAAACUGGGCCCAGUUCGGAUUGGAGUCUGCAACUCGACUCCAUGAAGCCGGAAUCGCUAGUAAUGGCGCAUCAGCUACGGCGCCGUGAAUACGUUCCCGGGCCUUGUCACACCGA
rnacentral:rRNA from 1 species